UACGAAGGGGGCUAGCGUUGCUCGGAAUCACUGGGCGUAAAGCGCACGUAGGCGGAUCUUUAAGUCAGGGGUGAAAUCCCAAGGCUCAACCUUGGAACUGCCUUUGAUACUGGGGAUCUCGAGUCCGGAAGAGGUUGGUGGGACUCCGAGUGUAGAGGUGAAAUUCGUAGAUAUUCGGAAGAACACCAGUGGCGAAGGCGGCCAACUGGUCCGGCACUGACGCUGAGGUGCGAAAGCGUGGGGAGCAAACAGG
rnacentral:rRNA from 1 species